rnacentral:lncRNA from 1 species
GACUGAGGACAGAAUUCUGCUUCUGCCUACACUGACCCCCCAAAUUCUGACAGAUCUAAUCACUAUGCUUUGCCUUCUCUGAAAGUGCAUUUUUAAUCCUGUCUUGGCAUACUCAAUCACAUCUUACAAAUUUGAUUCAAUUAACUACAAUAUCACACAGACCUAAAAAUAUGCAAAAUUCACUCAUGAUUGACUUUUUUUCUCGUUCUCAUCACAUACUGGAUGGACAGUUGGUAGAGUAGCCCUCCACAUAUUCAUUU